AAGGGUCCGCAGGCGGAUUUAUAAGUCAGUGGUGAAAUCCUAUCGCUUAACGAUAGAACUGCCAUUGAUACUGUAAGUCUUGAAUUCGGUCGGAGUGGGCGGAAUGUGUAGUGUAGCGGUGAAAUGCAUAGAUAUUACACAGAACACCGAUAGCGAAGGCAGCUCACUAGGCCUGAAUUGACCGCUCAGGGACGAAAGCGUGGGGAUCAAACAGGAUUAGAUACCCUUGU
rnacentral:rRNA from 1 species